rnacentral:snRNA from 1 species
GGAUAUGAGGGUUAUCUGGCUGUGCUGUCUGUCACCCCACUGAUCAUCAGGGUUGAUUCAAUAGGUCUGGCUGGCUAGCCAGAUGUCUCCUUGUUUCCUCACCACUCUAGCUCCAUGUGCGUCCUUCACAGGUAAAAAUGAAUGACCUUCCCCAGUAGAGGCAGACUGGUCUUCAAUUAAGGGUAUAUAUAGGAGGAGCUGCGCUCCCCUGCUAGACCUCCAAGCAAACUCUCAAGAAGGAGUCAAAGAUUCACUAAUAUCCAUGAAGUCUUUAACCACAAAGUUCAU